AACACUCCCAGCCAAGUUGGUGUUGCAUAUUACAUUCUGUUUUCUAAACUCCUGUAAAUUUAAUUCUGAGCCAAGUGAGAAGGCCUAUUCCAGCUAAAUUAUUAGAAGCAGCAAUUUCUGGGCUGCCUUAUUUGUUACAGUGGUACUGAGUAGCUGAAGCUGCUUGAAUGGUUUCAGCAUCUCGCAGACAAAGCCCUGAAUUUGGGCAUAAACAAUUUGAAAUGAACAUAGCAUUGGGAGUUACUUAUUUGGAUGCUAGCCUCAUGUUUGCUCUCAGCCUUUUAAGUUUAGAUAGUGUGAGAUAUUUUAUUUAUCCUAGUGAAACCUAUUUCAUGUUCAUAUAAUCAGUUGCUUGGUCAGAAUUGUUCUGUUCUGAUUCAGAAUGUCUUGGCACUUAAAUGUACGGUUCCGUGUGUAUUUUGUAGGGAAAGUAUGUACCCACAGUAUUAGAGGGGAUCAGAAGAUGAAGAUGUUGUUUCUAGAUUUAACCACUUUAAUUGUUUCACUCCAUUCUCCACAGACAAGCCCUCCUACAGCAUCCAAAAUUUUAACUUUGAAUUGUAAAGUAUGACCUCAGAGGAACGAAUUCAAAGUAGUAACUGCUGUGGUUUAAGUAUCGUGACCAGAGCAGUCAAAUUAAAACUAUCAUUCUAGCAAGGUAUAGGCUGUUACCACUUCAGCUGUUAAUUUUAUUUUUUUUUAAUGCAUUGAAUUUAUUAACAUAAAGCUGUGUGUAAGAAAUAAACUAUAGCUAAGCAUUCAUUCAUAAUACACGAAUGUAUGUGAAUAGAUCUUCUGAAUUAUUCAAGCUUUGUGAUUCUUACGUCCAAGAGAUUCUUGUUUCUCACUUUCAAAGUGAUCAGACGUUUAUUCAGUUUAAAGCAGAUAAAAAAUUAUUUUGCAUGGGUUUAUCUGUGUUCAACUAAAACAAUGGCUUCAUUUUAUCAUUAAUGUGUUUGGAAGAUGUUAAUGUAGUUUUCAAAAGUACUUUUUCCCCUAACAUGAAAAAAUAGUGUAUCAUGACAUCUGCAUGUCAUCACCGUUCUUCCAGGUCCUCUAAAAAUUGUUUACAGGUAUCAGAUGUACUGCUUGGUUGAAGAGCUGCUAUAAAAUCUGUAGCAUGUAGUCCUUUCAAAUCCCUUUGCACUGAGUAGUUUAUUAUAACAUGUAUUUAAUUUUAAUGUGCAGAAUAGACAUGGGAUCAUACCAUCUUUUGGGAUGAAUAUUAAACCACUUUAUGUGCAUAUAAUAUAUAGUGGCAUCUUUUUAUGCAGAACGAUCUCAAAAUGCUUUAUAAAUCUCCUCAAAGAUUCUAAAUCCCUUUCGUAGAAAAGAGAGUUUUGUUCAUUUCUUUGAAUUGUGGAUGAAGCCAAGGCAUUGAUUAAAUGUUGAAUCAAUACACUACCACCUAAGUAAUUUUAGGAGGUUAUAGAAGUAUGCUCCAAAGAAUUGCAAGUAGAGUCAGGAGAAAAUAAAUAUAAAACAAAUAUAUAUAAAAAUAAGUGGUAAAGAUAUGGAAACACUUGACAGGUUCUUUGGAGUUUGUUGGCUUCUUGUCAGUUGAGGGGUUUUUUUUAAACCUACAUCACCACAGCUAGUAUAAAAACUGGUCAGCUAUUCACUUCAAGAUAAAAUUAAUGAACAGAGAGUAGUGGUUCCUUAUACUGAGGGGAAGGCUUUCAGGAAAGAAAUAGACAUUCAAUGUAGAAAUAAUUUGAAGUGACAAAAAGGAGCUUUCUCCACAAAUCAAUUCAGCUGGUGUAAACUAGCACAGGACUGCUGGAGCUGUUAUACCUUCAGUGAUUUAAAUUCAUUAUAUAGGUAUUCUUGUGGAAAAUCAAGAUUUCACCAGUUUGAGAGCUGCUCAUUUAUGGUGUCUCAUCUGGAAUCACAGUGCUUGGUUGAACUUCAGCUAAGUUUCAUUUGGAGAUAAUUGAUGUAGGGGUGAAUUCAAACAGCUGGAAGUAUAUAUAAAAAAAUAAAUGAUUGGAGAAAUGAUUUUGUGGUAGAAUUGACUAUCCUUAACACAAAUGUAAUGGUGAAAUGGGCAUUCUUACUCUGUGGUGUACUGUUGUUUGAAAUCUGAAAUUAAAUAUCUGGAGUUACAUUGUUUUCUUCAGUCUGUGGCCCUGUUGGUAUGAGGAACUAACCUAGCUGGUUCUGCCCCGUGGGUCUGGAGUGAAGUAAUCUCUUUGGGUAGGAUUUUUAAUCUGCCAGUCAGAUUGUUUCCUAAAAUCCUGUUCCCUUAACACAACAUAACAUUAACUUAAUGAUUGUAUAUGUGUGUCUAUAUGCACAUGUAUGUGUGUGUAUAUGUAUAUAUGUGUAUUUAUAUAUUUGAGACUAUUAUUCAGAUGACCUGUUUUCAAGCAGUAUUUUACAAUCAAAAACCACACUGUGCUGCAUUCAAAAUAUAAUGUAUAUUGUAUAUUGACUGUGUUGAGCCUGCUUUUCAGAAGAAAAAUAUCAACAAAAGUAGAUCUACUUUUGUGGCAUGUUUACUAUUUUGGCCUAAUUUAAAAACAAACAAACAAACAAAACAAAAAUAUCUACCCAGAAACCCAACAACAACAAAACCCCAAACACUCUAAAUUCAUCAAGGCACUCAAUCUGCCUCCUUUAAAGCCCUGUGAUUAAAUUGCUUCCCAGACUUUACGGCAUUUUGAUUUUACUCCUUCCUCUGCCUAGCUCAAAUGAAUGUAGAAUGUGGUUUUCCUCUUCUAAAAUCUUCAAGCAGAUUUCCUUGAAUAAAAUGUUUUCAGCUAUUUGUUUAUAGUUCAUCAUUGUAGAUGCAUUAAAUAUUCAUGGUGAAAACAUUCAGGAAAGGGGGAGCUAUGCCAAAACAUUUUCCCAUGGAUGUGUGCCCUAGUAUUUUUAAGAAAGAAGCCAAAUUUGUUGCAUAUAGGGAACAGUUUGCAAUAGAAGUAUUGGUUUGGUUUUUUCUAUUAGCAUGUUUUCUAUUCUGCAGCCGCCAAGGUAGAUUAAUAUGUUAAUUUUAGUGGAUCAGCUGUAAUGUUUGACAUCAGAAUUACAGUCUACGCAUUAAUUCCCCUUCAUUAUGGAAACAUUUCUGAUUUGAAUUGUGAAAACACUUUUUAAAAGAAAACCCCUAAUAUUUGGAAGAGGUGUAUUAUUUGUUCUGGUUUUGCAAUAAAGUGAAGAGUAUUAAAAAGGUGAAAUAUAAAUGCCGUUGUAAGUUGUGCAAAUGUAAGUGGUCAUUUUUAUGGUCAAGAAAUAUAUGAAUGUAAAAACUUUGCAGAUAUUGUAUAUAUUUUCUGUAAUAUAUGUAUAUUUGGUCAUAAGAUGGGUGGAGAAUUGUAAAAAUUAAGCACUUUAAUUCCUGUUCAGUACUUAAAAAGAAAUUUGUAUCCUGUACAAUAAAUGUAUCAUUAAAUAAGUA